rnacentral:rRNA from 1 species
GACGAACGCUGGCGGCGUGCUUAACACAUGCAAGUCGAGCGAGAUCCAACCGGUGGCAACACUGGUGAAGAUCUAGCGGCGAACGGGUGAGUAACACGUGAGCAACCUGCCCCGAAGACCGGGAUAACAGUGGGAAACCGCUGCUAAUACCGGAUGCCCUUCCAUGGUCGCAUGGCCUAAGAAGGAAGUGGCUGAGUCUAAUAAACUCGGUCCGCUUCGGGAGGGGCUCGCGGGCUAUCAGCUUGUUGGUGAGGUAACGGCUCACCAAGGCUACGACGGCUAGCUGGUCUGAGAGGACGACCAGCCACACUGGGACUGAGACACGGCCCAGACUCCUACGGGAGGCAGCAGUGGGGAAUCUUGCGCAAUGGGCGAAAGCCUGACGCAGCAACGCCGCGU